GGUGAAUGAAUAAAAUAAAAAAAGAAAAAGGGACCAUACAUCCUUGCCUGUUCUUGCCGAAUGUGGGAAAAAGAAAGAGGAAAGAUAUUUUGAGGAUUUCGGCCAAGGAGAAAACUCAGAAUCUAAGGUAGAAAAAAAGGGCUCUUUGAUAUUUGGCCUUGGUGAUUCUAAUUGAAGCUCAAGAGCAUAGAGGGGCAAAUUCGGAUAAGGGAAAAGAGAAAGUAAUCGAAUAGCCAUUGUAAUCGUUCGGUAACAUUCGAGAUCGUUGACUCUUACUAUUAGCUCGGGGAUCAUCAGUACUUCGUCACGCUAUCUACUAUUGUAGUAAUCAUGUGAUUUGGACUUAGCUUAUGGCAUGUAUAGGAUAAACUAUAAGUAGAAUGAUAUUUUGACUAUUGUAUAUAAGCCAUGCGAAUAUGGCAUCUUAUGGAAGUUUACUUUUAUAAGUUUUAAAUUCGAUCUUUGUUUGUGUCCAUUAGUUAUAUAAAUAAAUGAUCUUUUAUUUAAGAAAA